rnacentral:lncRNA from 1 species
GGUGGAGAACACAGGUGCGCUCCUGGAAGUCAGAUGCUUAAGAGGAAGACUGAAAAGCUCAUUGUAGUAGAAAGAUAGAAGUCGAAGAAGCCUAGAAAGAAGAGAUGAGGGCUGGAGAGCUGGCUGAGCCGGCAAGUGUCUGCAGAGCAAGCGUGAGCGAUUGAGUUUGAGUCUCAGAAGCCAGACAUGGUGGCAUGUGCUUUGUAAUCCCAGCUCUGGGGAGAUGGAGACAGGCAGAUCCCUGGAGCUUGCUGGACAGCUAGCCCAUACCUAUGGGUAACUCCCAGAUCAAUGAAAGACAAACCAGGUUUCUUUCUUCUUCAAAACAAAAGAGAACACAUGCCUUUACUCUCCCUUUAGUAGUGGGAACAGACAUGAGUGGUGCUCUUGUUCCCCAUGUUGACUGGAUGUUCCAUGCACUUUGCUUUCCUGAUUUAAUCUUGUAAUCUUGAACAUCAUCAAAUUUCUAAGGUUCUCCAUGGAGGCUCCAGCUACUCAAGACAGCAUCCUUCUGGUGGGUGAAUCAGCACCAAUGUUACCUGAACCAUCAUGAUGCAAGUAGAAUGACCAAGUCAGCCUGAUUUCUUCAUUUUGAACCACAGCCUCAGUUGAGCACCUUGAUCAUUUGAAGUCCUUAUUCAUAUCUUCAGCUGCUUCUCAGCCAAUGAUCUCCUCCGGCUGGGGUGUCACCUUUACUGAAGGAGCAGGACCUUCUUCAGUAUCAUCAUGCCAUGUUGGAGUUUCUGUCCCCCUGCUCCUGUCCAUCUUAUCUGAAGUUGUGCAAGUCUAGAGACAGAUGUAGAGUGGGCACUGAGCCACUACAUCCUCCACUAUGUCUUCAUUAGGCAUGGUACCCAACACCCCCUACCUAAUCUAUUCCUCUUCUCCAUGGCCCCAAAGAUAGAAGCCUUUUGGCAGGAGCUACCCAAA